GGGUCGAUGGCGUAGUUGGUUAUCGCAUCUGUCUUACAAUAUGAAACAUAUCUCACAGAAGGUCCUCAGUUCGAGCCUGGGUCGACUCA